UGGCCCUGGCUCAGGCA
rnacentral:misc_RNA from 1 species